GUGUGAGCACGGGCGGUGGCUCCGACGUGGUAACCACGGGGACGGCACCUCAAAACCUGGACAAACGGCCUUGACCUCGUCUGUGGUGGCCUGAGGAGGAACACGCAGGAGGAAACCGUCCCGGGGCGGCCGCGAGCGCUGGAAACAGCGGAGAUCUCCAAGGUGACAGGGGUUCAGGCAGAGGCGGUGCGGCCCUCACGGCCCGUCCUCGUCAAGGAGCGUCAGGCACCCGCAGGUCAUCUUGGCUCGGCGGGGAGGCGGGCUCGCAACCCCGCGACUUACCUUUGUUCUGCGUAAGGACGUUGGGAACAGAAGGGGCGGAGCGCCGGCUCGUCCGUGGGCCCGAGCCUACUUUAAACAACAGGGACAACUUCUGUCACAUAUGCCAGCUCAUCUCGGACUUCUCUCUGCGCAGGUGGAACCAGCCUAUUAGUCCACUCAAGGCUGGGUGGCUGACACAACAUCUAUUUUCUCACAGUUCUGGAGGCUAGAAGUCCAGUAUUAAGGUGCCAGCACGCUUGCUGUCAGUUGAGAGGUCUAUUCCUAGAUUAUAAAGGGCCGCUGGCUCUCUGUAUCCUCACAUGGGAGUUGGUGGGAGAAGAGAGAGAGUGAGCAGAAGCUCUGAUGUCUCAUAAGGGCACGAAUCCCACCAUGGGAGCCCUUGCCCUCAGGACUUCAUGUAACCGAAUUACCUCCAAAAAGGUCCCAUCUUCAAAUUCCGUCACAAUGGGGGUUUGGACUUCAACAGAUGAAUUCUGGGGACACAAUUCAGUCCACAGCCCUUAGUAAAUCAACCACUCAAGAAUACUAGGUAUUUUCAGUUUGGAGUUUAUAACCAAUAAUUUGUAUGAAGGCUGGUUCUUGAGAAUAAAAUGAAUAGUAGACAUUA